AACGAACGCUGGCGGCAGGCUUAACACAUGCAAGUCGAACGCCCCGCAAGGGGAGUGGCAGACGGGUGAGUAACGCGUGGGAAUCUACCCAUCCCUAGGGGAUAACACAGAGAAAUUUGUGCUAAUACCCUAUACGUCUUCCGGGAGAAAGAUUUAUCGGGGAUGGAUGAGCCCGCGUUGGAUUAGCUAGUUGGUGGGGUAAUGGCCUACCAAGGCGACGAUCCAUAGCUGGUCUGAGAGGAUGACCAGCCACACUGGGACUGAGACACGGCCCAGACUCCUACGGGAGGCAGCAGUGGGGAAUAUUGGACAAUGGGCGCAAGCCUGAUCCAGCCAUGCCGCGUGAGUGAUGACGGCCUUAGGGUUGUAAAGCUCUUUCACCCACGACGAUAAUGACGGUAGUGGGAGAAGAAGCCCCGGCUAACUUCGUGCCAGCCGCCGCAGUAA
rnacentral:rRNA from 1 species